UUCAUUUAUUUGGUCAUUAGUCUCCUCAUCUAAAAAACAGGAGGCAGUUUAGUAUCAUGGCUAAGGGCCUGAAUUCGGGAGAUAUGGAUAUGCCUCUGCCCAUAUUCUUUUUUCUUUUUUUUCGAGACGGAGUCUUGCUCUGUCGCCCAGGCUGGAGCGCAGUGGCGCAAUCUUGGCUCACUGCAACCUCUGCCUCCCGGGUUCAAGUGAUUCUCUUGCCUCAGCCUCCCAAGUAGCUGGGACUACAGGCACC
rnacentral:lncRNA from 1 species